AUGGGGUGCAGCAGGCGAGAAAACUUUGCAAUGUGCGAAAGCACGACAAGGUUAAUCCGAGUGUUUUCUGCUAAAGAAAUCUUUUGUUAGUUCUAAAACCACUAUCGAAUAAGGGGUGGGCAAGUUCUGGUGUCAGCCGCCGCGGUAAAACCAGCACCUCAAGUGGUCAGGAUGAUUAUUGGGCCUAAAGCAUCCGUAGCCGGCUAUGUUAGUUCUCGGUUAAAUCCAUGUGCUCAACACAUGGGCUGUCGAGAAUACUGUAUAGCUAGGGAGUGGGAGAGGUAGACGGUACUCGGUAGGAAGGGGUAAAAUCCUUUGAUCUAUUGAUGACCACCAGUGGCGAAGGCGGUCUACCAGAACACGUCCGACGGUGAGGGAUGAAAGCUGGGGGAGCAAACCGGAUUAGAUACCCGGGUAGUCCCAGCUGUAAACUAUGCAAACUCAGUGAUGCACUGGCUUGUGGCCAGUGCAGUGCCGCAGAGAAGUCGUUAAGUUUGCCGCCUGGGAAGUACGUACGCAAGUAUGAAACUUAAAGGAAUUGGCGGGGGAGCAC
rnacentral:rRNA from 1 species